GGAGUUAGCCGGUGCUUCUUCUGUGAGUGAUGUCCUUCCUGCCGGUUAUUGACCCGCAGGCCUUCUUCCUCACUGAAAGUGCUUUACAACCCGAAGGCCUUCUUCACACACGCGGCAUGGCUGGAUCAGGGUUGCCCCCAUUGUCCAAUAUUCCCCACUGCUGCCUCCCGUAGGAGUCUGGGCCGUGUCUCAGUCCCAGUGUGGCUGAUCAUCCUCUCAGACCAGCUACGGAUCGUCGCCUUGGUGAGCCGUUACCUCACCAACCAGCUAAUCCGACAUAGGCUCAUCCGAUAGCGCGAGGCCCGAAGGUCCCCCGNUUUCCCCCGUAGGGCCGUAUGCGGUAUUAGCCUGGGUUUCCCCCAGGUUAUCCCCCACUACCGGGCAGAUUCCUAUGCAUUACUCACCCGUCCGCCGCUCGCCACCAGGGAGCAAGCUCCCCGUGCUGCCGCUCGACUUGCAUGUGUUAGGCCUGCCGCCAGCGUUCAAUCUGAGCCAGAUCAAACUCUGA
rnacentral:rRNA from 1 species